GAAAAGGUGCUUGAGAAAAAGAAUACACUGAUACCGUAAUUAUGCGACUUGUCGCUCUUUUCG
rnacentral:tRNA from 1 species